rnacentral:rRNA from 1 species
GACGAACACUGGCGGCGUGCUUAACACAUGCAAGUCGAACGGAAAGGCCCUGCUUUUGUGGGGUGCUCGAGUGGCGAACGGGUGAGUAACACGUGAGUAACCUGCCCUUGACUUUGGGAUAACUUCAGGAAACUGGGGCUAAUACCGGAUAGGAGCUCCUGCUGCAUGGUGGGGGUUGGAAAGUUUCGGCGGUUGGGGAUGGACUCGCGGCUUAUCAGCUUGUUGGUGGGGUAGUGGCUUACCAAGGCUUUGACGGGUAGCCGGCCUGAGAGGGUGACCGGCCACAUUGGGACUGAGGUACGGCCCAGACUCCUACGGGAGGCAGCAGUGGGGAAUAUUGCACAAUGGGCGGAAGCCUGAUGCAGCAACGCCGCGUGCGGGAUGACGGCCUUCGGGUUGUAAACCGCUUUCGCCUGUGACGAAGCGUGAGUGACGGUAAUGGGUAAAGAAGCACCGGCUAACUACGUG